GUCAUUCAAUUGAAUACAUAUAUCCCGGUCAAGUUGAAGGGCAUGCAAAUACUUUUUUCUGAAAACAUUGGCAGCUAAGAAAAACAUCCCAAAAAGCUAUAUCUGACAAAUAAUAAUUAUAAACUUUACCGAGUAAUAUAAUCUCUCUUUAAGGUUGUUGAGAUAUUGAAAAGUUGUGACUAUUUAGUUUUAACUUCAAUAUUUAUUGUAUUGAUUGUAUUGAUUAAUCUUCCUUAUUAAUUAGGGAUUAACUAGGAGACUCCCACCCAUAUAAAUGUACAUUUUCCCCACAUAAUUUGAUAUGAUAAACAUAUUUUCAGUCUUAAGAUGGUAUCCAGAGCAUGGUUCUGAAAUCCUAGUUUUGUCUUUGGGUUCAGUCGCUGUCAAGGCUAUCCCUAUAUUUUUUUUUUUCUUCUCAAUUCAGUCGUUUGGUGUCCAAAAGGAACCGUCCUAGUUUUUGUUUCGUGUUGUUUAAUGGCGAUCCAACCAGUUUCCUCUUCAGCCACAUUGGCUCAUUUAAACAAUUCUACAGUGUGCCUAUCUCACUCUACUGGAUCAUGGGUUUUAGAUUCUGGUGCUUCUGAUCAUGUUGUUGGUGAUCCCUCUCUUAUCUCUAAUUUGUCACCUCCUAAGAUACCUCACAACAUUAUUGUUGCUAAUGAUUCUAAGGCACAAGUUACUGGUAUUGGUCAAGCUUCUCCUCUGCCAUCUCUAUCAUUGAAUUAUGUGUUAUUCAUACCUAGAAGUCCUUUUAAUUUGAUCUCAAUCACUAAACUUACUCAAUCUCUCAAUUGUUCUAUAACAUUUUCUUUCGACUCUUUCCUUAUACAAGACCGAAAUACGGGAAAGACAAUUGGAACAGGAUUUGAAUCACAGGGUCUCUAUCAUCUCCAUUCUCAUCCAUCCACCAUUUGUGGUGUUUCUGCAUCUCCAGAUAUCAUUCAUCGUCGUUUGGGUCAUCGAAGUUUGGAUAAGUUAAAGGUAUUAGUUCCUCACCUUUCACAUUUAAAGUCAUUGGAUUGUGAAUCAUGUCAGCUUGGCAAACAUGUCAGAGUAUCUUUUCCAAGUCGUGCCAAUAAAAGAUCAAUGUCUCCCUUUGAUAUCAUCCAUUCUGAUGUUUGGGUCCUAGUCGCGUUUCGUCUAGGACGGGAUACAAAUAUUAUAUCACUUUCAUUGAUGAUUUCUCUAGAUGCACCUGGAUCACCUUAUUGAAGGAUCGUUUAGAAUUAUUUGGUGUCUUUCAAACGUUUUGUUCAGAGAUAAAGACCAAAUUUGGUAAAACAAUUCGAAUUUUACAGAGUGACAAUGCCAAAGAAUAUUUUUCUACAUCGUUCAACUCCUUUAUGGCUUCUCAUGGUAUUAUACAUCAGUCCAGCUGUCCUCACACACCGCAACAAAAUGGUGUCGCUGAAAGAAAACAUCGUCAUUUGGUUGACACAGCUCGAACUUUAUUGAUGAAUGCUCAUGCACCUUUUAGAUUUUGGGGUGAUGCCAUUCUCACUGAUUGUUAUUUGAUAAACCGCAUGCCAUCAUCGGUAUUGGGUAAUGAAAUUCCAUACUCACUUUUGUUUCCUAAGGAUCCACUGUACGUUGUCCCUCUUCGUGUGUUUGGAUCUACGUGUUUUGCACAUGAUCUCUCUCCUGGCCGUGAUAAAUUGUCUCUUCGUGUGUUUGUCUCUUCGUGUGAUAAAUUGUCUGCGCGAGCUGUCAAAUGUGUGUUUUUGGGAUAUUCUAAAACCCAAAAGGGGUAUCGUUGUUAUUUUCCAUCUGCACAUCGUUUUUAUGUUUCAGCAUAUGUUACUUUCUUUGAGGAUAGACCAUUCUUUGCUUCACCCACUACAUCUGGUUCUACAACUGAUGUUACUACUUCCCAGGUGAUGCCCAUUCCUCUAUUUGAGUCAUUUGUCUCUACUCAAAAUCCUCCAGUCACAAGGUAACCCAAAGUUCCGUCGGUAUGGUAUUACUUAUGAGCGUCGACAUGUUGAAGCUCCAGAAACAGCUCCUAUUGAUUCCAAUGAUUCAACUCCUAAGACCCCUGCUACUAAUUCUAGUGAUUCAGGUAUUGUUCCAGUCUCUUCUCCUGCUGCGGUUCCACUUGAGCGUCCUAUUGACUUACCUAUUGCUCUUCGUAAAGAUAAAAGGUCUACCGCUAAUCCUCAUCCUAUUUAUAAUUUUUUGAGCUACCACCGAUUGUCUCCUUCCUACUUGGCUUUUGUUUCUGCUCUUUCAACUGUCUCAAUUCCUAAGACACUUCAUGAAACAUUAUCUCAUCCAGGGUGGAAACAGGCCAUGAUUAAUGAGAUGAUUGUGUUAGAAUCAAACCAAACUUGGGGGCUUGUUCCACCACCUCUUGGAAAAUCUAUUGUUGGUUGCAGGUGGGUGUUUAAUGUCAAAGUGGGACUUGAUGGACAGGUUGAUCGAUUAAAGGCUCGGUUAGUGGCAAAAAGUUAUACUCAAGUCUAUGGUCAGGAUUAUAGUGAUACCUUCUCACCAGUUGCGAAGAUGACAUCUGUUCGCCUCUUUAUAGCUAUGGCUGCCAUGAGACGUUGGCCCGUUUCAGUUGGAUAUCAAGAAUGAUUUCCUGCAUGGUGACUUGGAAGAAGAGAUUUAUAUGGAGCAACCUCCUGGGUUUGUUGCUCAAGGGGGAAAAGUUUGGUAUGCAAAUUGAAAAAGUCCUUGUAUGGAUUGAAACAAUCGCCUCGAGCAUGGUUUGGUCGAUUAAGCAAAGUUCUACAACAGUUUUGGGAUGACCCGUUGCGAAUCAGAUCAUUAUGUUGAUGACAUUGUAAUUACCGAUGAUGAUUAUGAAGGUAUCAAGGCAUUAAAACAACAUCUAUUUCAAAACUUUCAGACUAAGGACUUAGGUCCUCUUCGUUACUUUCUCGGGAUUGAAGUGGCUCAAUCAAACUCUGGAAUUGCUAUCUCUCAGAGGAAGUAUGCCCUUGAUAUUUUGGACGAAACAGGUCUUAUAGAUUGUAAACCAGUUGAUACUCCUAUGGAUCCUAAUGUGAAGCUUCUUCCCAGGGGAGCCCUAUUAUGAUCCAGGCAGAUACCGAAGACUAGUGGAAAAAUUGAAUUAUCUCACCUUGACCAGACCGGACAUAUCUUUUCCAGUUAGCGUCGUAAGUCAGUUUCUUAACUCUCCUUGUGUCAAUCAUUGGAAUGCAGUUGUUCGAAUUCUUAAGUAUAUCAAAAGAGCACCCGGAAAAGGACUUGUUUUCACUGAUAGAGGCCACGCAAAUAUCGUUGGGUAUUCAGAUGCCGAUUGGGCAAGAGAUGCAAGUGAUAGACAGUCUACUUCUGGUUAUUGCAUUUUUGUGGGCGGAAAUCUGAUUUCAUGGAAGAGCAAAAAGCAGAAUGUUGUCGCCUGGUCAAGUACAGAAGCCGAGUAUCGAGCUAUGGCUCAUACUACAUGUGAGCUUGUGUGGUUGAAACAUUUACUGCAGGAAUUACAAUUUUGUGAGGUUGGUCAAAUGGAACUUGUAUGUGAUAAUCAAUCAGCUUUACACCUCUCCUCCAAUCCAGUUUUUCACGAGAGGCAUAUUGAAGUUGACUGUCACUUUCUUAGAGAGAAAAUUAUCACCGGAAUCAUCAGAACCUCAUUUGUCAAUUCCAAGGAUCAACUUGCUGAUAUCUUUACUAAAUUUCUACGGAGUCCUCGGAUAACUUACAUAUGUGACAAGAUGGAUGCAUAUGAUGUAUACGCACCACCUUGAGGGGGAGUGUUGAGAUAUUGAAAAGUUGUGACUAUUUAGUUUUAACUUCACUAUUUAUUGUAUUGAUUAAUCUUCCUUAUUAAUUAGGGAUUAACUAGGAGACUCCUACCCAUAUAAAUGUACAUUCUCCCCACAUAAUUUGAUAUGAUAAACAUAUUUUCAGGCUUAAGAAAGGUGACAUUCUUGUUCUCAAUGUAACAACAAAAUCGAGAUUAUCUCGUUGUCGAAUGAAUAUAAGUUAUUUUGGUAGCAAGUGUUUCUGCU
rnacentral:lncRNA from 1 species